UCGGUAUGUGUUCUUCCAUGCAUUGCAUUGCAUUGUUUUGCUUUGUUUCGUCGGAGAAAUGUUCAUCCUGUUGCUGUUUGAUUCGUGGACGGUUGCUUGUUCAUCGGUUCUUCUGGUCGAAAUGGAGAUUUGACAUUGAGGUUUGCUUCAAUCUGCAGGCAAGCCUUUUCCGUCGCUCUUGAUGGAUAGCAGCAGGAGGAGGGCCUUCUUCAAUCUCGCAGGUAGGCAUCAUCAUCAGCAUCCUCUCAAUAAUCUUCUGCUGCAAUGUGGAUGAUUGGUCAGUUCAUCCGGGGAAAGAAAAGAAGCUCUUGAUUAAUAAAAUUUGCAAUGUGGGAUUUCUGUUUGUGCAAUGCAGAGGAGGAGUUCAUCCCGGAGCCUCAGGUGAGCUGCGACUUCAACGACACGAGAUCCGACUACUGCGAGAUGGCCGGCGCCAUCCGCAUCCGCGGGAGCACGUCGGAGGUGUUCGUCAUGACCCCUCGCCGCGGCACCACCGCCGGGGACGUCGUCGGCGCCAACGCGACGUGGAUCGCCGCCAACGCCACGAGCUGGAAGAUGCAGCCGUACACGCGCAAGGGGGAGGCGCGCAUCAUGAACGGCAUCACGGCGGUGACGGUGCGGCUGGCGGACGCCGACGAGGCCCCCGCGUGCGAGGUGAUGCACGACGUGCCGGCCGUGGUGUACUCCAACGGCGGCUACUGCGGCAACUACUACCACGACUUCAACGACAACAUCAUCCCGCUCUUCAUCACCACGCGCCACCUGGGCGGCGAGGUGCAGCUGCUGGUGAAGCAGAAGCAGGCGUGGUGGUUCGGCAAGUACGGCGAGAUCGUGGGCGGGCUGACGCGGCACGAGGCGCUGGACCUCGACGGCGACGCGCGCGUGCACUGCUACCGCCGCGCCUUCGUGGGGCUGCGCAGCCACAAGGACCUGAGCAUCGACCCGCGCCGCGCGCCCAACAACGUGUCCAUGGUGGACUUCAAGCGCUUCCUCAUGUGGCGGUACGCGCUGCCCCGGGAGCACGCGAUCCGGACGGACGACGAGGUGGUCGGCGGGCGGAGGCCGCGGCUGCUGAUCAUCACGCGGCGGUCGCGGCGGCGGUUCAUGAACCUGGAGGAGAUCGUGGCCGCGGCGGAGGAGCUCGGCUUCGAGGUGACGGCCUCGGACCUGAUGUCGCCGCCCAAGAAGCAGGGCGGCGAGGCGGCCCUGGUGGACGACGGCGGGCAGGCGCGGAUGGCGGACGCGUCGGCGACGGUGAACGCGUUCGACGUGAUGCUGGCGGUGCACGGGUCCGGGCUGACGAACCUGGUGUUCCUGCCGAUGAACGCGGUGGUGGUCCAGGUGGUGCCGCUGGGGCGGAUGGAGGGGCUGGCCAUGGACGAGUACGGCGUGCCGCCGCGG
rnacentral:lncRNA from 1 species